AUUUUAAACACACAAAAUGGAGACUGGUGUUACAUGUUGUGCAAGAGUAACAUCUCUUCUCCCAAAUGUUUCAUCUCAACAAUACUCAACUUCAAUUGCAACUUCAAGAUCCAUUUCCCCUUCAUUCAACUCAAGGAGUUUGAAAUCAAGCUCAUUAUUUGGGGAAUCAUUGCGCGUUGCGCCUAAAUCAUCACUAAAGGUGUCUAGGACAAAAAAUUCUUCUUUGGUGACAAAAUGUGAGAUUGGUGAUAGCUUGGAAGAAUUUCUUUCAAAAUCAACCUCAGAUAAGGGGUUAAUCAGGUUAAUGAUGUGUAUGGGAGAAGCAUUGAGAACAAUUGCCUUCAAAGUCAGAACAGCUUCUUGUGGAGGAACAGCUUGUGUCAAUUCUUUUGGUGAUGAACAGCUUGCUGUCGAUAUGCUUGCCGAUAAGCUUCUCUUUGAGGCCUUGACAUAUUCACACUUUUGCAAAUAUGCUUGUUCUGAGGAAGUUCCUGAGCUCCAAGACAUGGGGGGCCCUGCUGAAGGAGGAUUUAGUGUUGCUUUUGAUCCA
rnacentral:misc_RNA from 1 species